rnacentral:rRNA from 1 species
UGGGGAAUAUUGCACAAUGGGCGCAAGCCUGAUGCAGCCAUGCCGCGUGUGUGAAGAAGGCCUUCGGGUUGUAAAGCACUUUCAGCGAGGAGGAAGGUGGUGAGCUUAAUACGCUCAUCAAUUGACGUUACUCGCAGAAGAAGCACCGGCUAACUCCGUGCCAGCAGCCGCGGUAAUACGGAGGGUGCAAGCGUUAAUCGGAAUUACUGGGCGUAAAGCGCACGCAGGCGGUUUGUUAAGUCAGAUGUGAAAUCCCCGGGCUCAACCUGGGAACUGCAUUUGAAACUGGCAAGCUAGAGUCUCGUAGAGGGGGGUAGAAUUCCAGGUGUAGCGGUGAAAUGCGUAGAGAUCUGGAGGAAUACCGGUGGCGAAGGCGGCCCCCUGGACGAAGACUGACGCUCAGGUGCGAAAAGCGUGGGGAGCAAAACAGGAUUAGAUACCCUGGUAGUCCACGCUGUAAAACGAUGUCGAUUUUGGAGGUUGUGCCCUUGAGGCGUGGCUUCCGGAGCUAACGCGUUAAAUCGACCGCCUGGGGAGUACGGCCGCAAGGUUAAAACUUAAAUGAAUUGACGGGGUCAUAGCUG